CCUACGGGAGGCAGCAGUAAGGAAUAUUGGUCAAUGGACGGAAGUCUGAACCAGCCAUGCCGCGUGCAGGAUGACGGCCCUCUGGGUUGUAAACUGCUUUUAUAGGGGACGAAAAAAGGGGAUUCUUCCUCACUUGACGGUACCCUAGGAAUAAGCACCGGCUAACUCCGUGCCAGCAGCCGCGGUAAUACGGAGGGUGCAAGCGUUAUCCGGAUUUACUGGGUUUAAAGGGUGCGUAGGUGGGUCGGUAAGUCAGCGGUGAAAUCUUCGAGCUUAACUCGGAAACUGCCAUUGAUACUAUCGAUCUUGAAUCGUCUAGAGGUAAGCGGAAUAUGUCAUGUAGCGGUGAAAUGCUUAGAUAUGACAUAGAACACCAAUUGCGAAGGCAGCUUACUAUGGAUGUAUUGACACUGAGGCACGAAAGCGUGGGGAUCAAACAGGAUUAGAUACCCUGGUAGUCCACGCCCUAAACGAUGGAUACUCGACAUUUGAGAUAUACUUUAAGUGUCUGAGCGAAAGCAUUAAGUAUCCACCUGGAAGUACGAUCGCAAGAUUGAAACUCAAAGUAGAGUAGAGNGNGAGAGAGCGACGACGACGACGAGGGAGGAGG
rnacentral:rRNA from 1 species